ensembl:lncRNA
CAGAUGCCCAAUUGAUUUUAAAAUUUCAGAGGCAACUUUUACUGCAGUAAAUGUUCCAGACCGAAAUUUUGGUCUGCAGACGGAGGCUUUUUAACAGUUAGUGGCCAAAUGCUUCUUGCUCUUAUGACCACAACACAUAGGAACUCUCUAAAAAGGGCAAUCAGGGUUUUGGUUUUAUUUAUCACUGCUGGGCUUUGAUUUGUGCAUUUUUUAAUAUCAUUAUUUUUAUUUUAGACCUUCGUGGCCGGCCUACCAAGGAGAGUUUAGUAAGAAGCACUGUCUCCAUUAACCUCUGGGAGAACAAGAGUGAAGUGCAGCUCAGGCUCUGUGAGAAGGCGGUCAUGCCUCAAACGGACCAAAUGAAACGGGAGCAAAGCCAGAAGGAGCGAAAGAACAUGGCGACGGGAGACGACCCGGUGGAGACGGACAGGAGACGAGCGUACGAGGCCAUUCUGGAGGAAGAUUUAAUUGGCAGUGACAAUGAUGAGGACAGCAUGUAUUUCACCUUCCAGCUGCCACGAGCUGCUAGCGAAUCCACCGUUGCUUCUCCUGGAGGUCCUUAUUCUGCUUUGGAUAUGGAGCUCAAAGACCCGUCUGGAUUUCAAGACCUUUACCCACAACCACUCCAGGCCCUCAGCCCGCCUUUGCAGGUUCCGAGAGCGACCGUGACCUCCCCAACGCGCUGCCUCUCACCCGUUCUGGCCUUCCCCAAAAGGGAGAACCGGAGUGGCUCGGAGCGACCCAGGGGGGUCAGCAAUGUCGUGUGUGCCGACAGCAGCGGCUUGUUUUCACACAGUCUCCUGCAGGAAGUCAAACCGGAUGACGCGCAGCACAAGGCAAUGAAUUCAGGAGAAGGUGACUACAAGUCUGGUGGCUCCAGCAGUUCUGACUAUCUUAAAAUCAUGAAUCUACCUGAGGAGGAUAAAGAGGCGCUACAAAUGCUGGCCAGUCUCAGAAGGGAGCAGGAGGAAGAUGACUGCGGAGCCUCGAGCCUCGGCGGGCCUGUCGUCCGACAGUGGGACAUCAACACGAGCUUUGAGGAAUCUCUGUGGAACCCCAGCUCUACGCCAAACAGCAAUGUGGACUAUGAUGAGGAAAUAAACACCCUGCAAUUAAUGUCCAGAGAGUGGAUGGAUGCGCUCAGACCUCCUGCUACGUCUCCCAGCCAACAGAGAAGGUCAGGCACGACACGGACCAGUCAGGAAAAUCUAAUCAGAGCGUACAGGAGCAUGAUGGAGAAGAAGGACAGCGAGGAGGAGGACAAAGAGGAGGAUGAAGAGUUAGAUGAGGAGCAGGAAGAGGAGGAGGAGGAUGAGUUCGAGGAGGAGGAAGAGGAUGAAGAGUUAGAGGGAGAAGAGGAUCUUCAAAGCUGAGCUAUGAUCCUUGUUCAUGUAUUACCAACUCGCUGAAUGUGAAGAUCAAAAGAAGCCACAAAGCAACAAAAAAGGGUUAAAAAAUGUGUUGGUGAUUUUGUUAUAAGGGUGGUGACAAGAGUGUUUCUUUCCAUGAAAAGUGUUGGGUUAUUGUUGAAAAAGGUGGACGUCUGUAGCGCCACUGACUGUCUGUUACAUCAAGAUGCUUUUCAUUUGUCCUAACAAAAAUUAAAGGUUUGAAGGAAAACCCAAAGGCUUUGUUUAAGUUAUUUUACACAGGUGGAGCUCAUGGACAG